rnacentral:lncRNA from 1 species
CUACCAACAAACAGGAAAUUAAGGCAACCAAUAAACCCUUUGGCCUCUGGGAUGUACAAGUCACUUAACACACUGAUCAGAACAGCUGAUUCAGAGGCUCUUUGCACACGGCUUUCCAAAUAGACAAGACCUGCUUUGAUCUGAAAAACAGGCCCACACUUUUUGGCCUCAGGGUCCAGCUGCAUUCUCCAAUUUUAACUUCUAGAUUAGGAACUCUAGGUUGCUCAUCAACUGCCCUAAAAUUUUUUAACUUAAUGAAUUUUAUUGUAUUUGUAGAUGUACAACCAUCAUCACAACCUAAUGUUAGAACAUUUCCAUCCCAAACCCCCAGCCCAUCCCUCCCUCCCAACCUGUUCCGUUUGGUAACCAUAAGUUUUUCAAGGUCUGUAAGUCUGUUUCUGUUCUGCAGAUAAAUUCAUUGCAUCCUUUAAGAUUCUACAUAUAGGUGAUAGCAUAUGUUUGUUUCUCACUAUCUAACUUCACUUAGUAUGAUAAUUUCUAGGCCCAUCUAUGUUGCUGCAAAUUCCAUUAUUUCAUUCUUUUUCAUGGCUGAGUAAUAUUCUGUUGUGUAUAUGUACCACACCUUCUUUAUCCACUCCUCUGUUGGACAUUUAGGUUGCCUCCACAUUUUGGCUAUCGUAUAUAGUGCUGCAAUGAACAUUGGGGUGCAUAUAUCUUUUUGAGUCAUGGCUUCCUCUGGAGAGAUGCCCAGGAGUGGGAUUGCUGAAUCCUAUGGUGAUUCUAUUUUUAGUUUUUUGAGGACCCUCCCUGCUGUUUUCCAUAGUGGCUGCCCCAAUUUGCAUUCCCACCAACUGUUUAAGUAAGAGGGUUCCCUAUUCUCCACACCUUCUCCAGCAUUUAUUGUUUGUAGACUUUUUGAUGAUGGCCAUUCUGGUUGGGGUAAGGUGGUGCCUCAUAGGAGUUUUGAUUUGAUUUGCAAUAGAGAUUUCUUUGGUCACCAUUUACUCAGUGAGUUUAGUGUCUGUGCACCGCUGUGUAGAACUGUGGUGGGAAACUGUGCAGAACUUACAGGGGAGGGGGACCUGCAAGUCUCUAACAAACCGACCUGUCCUUCCUCCACUUAUUGUCUGAUAACACAUCCCUAGAAAAGGCCACUUUGGGCCCUGAUUUCAGGUCACUAAAAGACUGACAACAGGUCAUUAAAAGCUCUAAACACUGUAUGAGAUGAAAUGUCACUACACCCUACACCCAGGAGGCGCCCAGAAGCCAAGCAGAGAGGCUUCUACUGACCAAAGAUGGGCACUGAGAGCAUCGGGAAGAAUAACUAUAAUGGAUUGAAACAUACCAAAUAGUCCUAAGUUUAUCAUGACACUAAAAAGCAAACAAAAACUCACUGAUCACUGUUAGAGAAUGCUAGGAAGCCCAAUCAUUAAUUUGAAAAUUGAUAAGGGAAAAUAUUCAAACAUUUAUCCUGCCUUUUUUAUUGGACUAUACCGCUGGGUUACCAAAUAGUAGAUAAGGAAUAUUUUCUCUUUUUCUUUUUUCCGGCGGUACCUGUGGCAUACGGACAUUCCCUGACCAAGGAUCAAAUCCGAGCUGCUGCUGAUGGGAACUCCUCAAUCUUGUUUGACUUCUAAUUCAAAUAAAGUGUUCUUUUAAAGCCACUCAUCAGGAGUUCCCAUCGUGGUGUAGUGGUUAAAGAAUCAGACUAGGAGCCCUGAGGUUGCAGGUUUGAUCCCUGACCUUGCUCAGUGGGUUAAGGAUCCGGCAUUGCCGUUAGCUGUGGUGUAGGUCGCAGAUGUGGCUCGGAUCUGGCAUGGCUGUGGCUGUGGUGUAGGCCAGAGGCUACAGCUCCGAUUGGACCCCUAGCCUGAGAACCUCCAUAUGCCAGGUAAUAACAGUAUCAUGGUUGUGUUUUUGUUUUUUAAGAAUCCCUAUCCUUUUUUCGUUUUUGUUUGUUUGUUUUUGUUUUUUAGGGCCACAGGUGCAGCACAUGGACGUUCCCCAGCUAGGGGUCGAAUCAGAGCUAUAGCUGCCAGCCUACACCACAGCAACGCCAGAUCCUUAACCCACUGAGCAAGGCCAGAGAUGGAACCCAAGUCCUCAUGGAUACUACUCAGGUUCAUUUCUGCUGAGCCACAACGGGAACUCCCAAGAAUCCCUAUCUUUUAAAUACAUAUGCUGAAAAGUUUUGGCUGAAAUGAAACCAUGUCUCGCCUGCAUUUCAGAACAAUGAGGAGGAGGGGAUACGGGCAACUGGCGGCAGCGUGGGCCCUGAGCUGAGGCCUGUUGAGGAAGGAGAUGCCGCGUGGGGCUCGUGGCCGUGGUGCUAAGACCCUCUACGAAAACACGCGGAAUGUCGCUUGAAAACGGGAGGCCCCUCUCUGCCUGGCAGGAUCAUUGACAGAGUUGUCAUUUUGUGGUUGCUGGUGUUAUUCCUGAUGUUAAACAAAGACCACAAGAAAAAGAAUUCCUCGGCACCCACCCCCUCAAGGGGGCAAACCUGCUCUGAAUCCCAGAGACCAGGGCUUCCUUUGCAAACAGGGCAGAAUCAAUAGGCCUUUGUUUUGGAAAGCCUUGACACAAACAAACAAACAAGCAAGCAAACAAACUGCUGACCUGGUGGAGAGCACCACGGUUGCUGGAGAGCAGGAGGGAGGCCGGCCCGUGAGCAGCUGGGCAGGGCUUGGUUCUAACCUCGCGAGUGUGGCAGCGGCAGCGCUGUUGGCUGGGGAGCAAGUGGAGGAGAAAAAUCUCUCCUCCGAGGUCUGGCUUUACGCACAGCUUCCUCUACUGCAGUUAACUAGAGUCCUAACAACCCUCUCAUCAGUGUGUUCCUUUUAAACAGCUGCUGAAAAAGCCCUGUUUUUAGAGGAUGUGCUCAGGUGCCCAUAGGUUUCCAAGCACGGGUCACCCUCGUUUGUCAUUUGAUGGCCUGAGAAGGUGACAGGACUCGUCAGGGGGUGAUUGGCGGUGAUGACCAUGCCUGAAGCCAGUUUUGAUGGUCGAUGAUUGUCACGUUCUUGGUAGAAACUGUUCGGUUUGAGAGGUACCCUGUAAACGUCCCGGGUCUUGCGUGACACGAGGUCAGCCGUGGCUCUUCAGAGCAGGACCAGCCAGCAGGGGCUGGAGCCAGACUUGAUUUAGAGAAACGAGACCAUGUUUCAGGCGCACGAGUGUGACAGCUGCACUUGACACCUGAGAGUCACAUAUUAUCCGUUCAUUCCUUCCUGAGUGAUUAUAAAGCUAAGACCCCUUCCCUCCCAAGGAAAAGAACCCCCAAUCUCCUCCUGCUUAAAUGGAGACACACAAUUUCUGUGGGUGGGAGGGGUUGUUUUUUGUUUGUUCUUUCUUAUAGCACACCUGCAACAUAUGGAAGCUCCGGGUCAGGAGCUGAAUCAGAGCUACAGCUGCCGGCCUAUGCUACAGCCACAGCCACGCAGGAUCUGAGCUGCAUCUGUGACCUACACCACAGCUCAUGGCAACUCUGGAUCCUUAACCCAAUGAGCAAGGCCAGGGAUUGAACCUGCAUCCUCACAGAGACAGGGUCAGGUCCUUAACCUGCUGAGCCACAACAGGAACUCCACAAUUUUUGUUAUUGCCUUACUUUGGGCAGCCACUGCACUGGCUCAUCUAGCCCCUUUAAUUUGUAAUGCAGCCAAAAGCAAGACCAAUCAGGCCCCGCCUUAACCCCCUUCCACUCAGAUAAAAUGGCCAACAGGUUUUUAAAACAAAUUCAGAAAUUGUGGGAAUCAUGACAGUUCACGUGAUGAAGGGGGAUUUUUUUUAAAUUUCACGAGCAAGUAAAAAAAUUAGAGUUGUCACUGAGCUGGACACAAAAUUAUUUCCUAAUCUAGGUGAAUCCAGUUUGUCUCAGAGGUCUGAAAGAUCCCAGAAAAGAAACAGGUGAGAGUCUAAACAGAGGCCCCGAGUGGCUCCGGGGGAUGGGGUCAAUGGGAGAUGGGCGAUGGGCUAUCACGGUUCGCUGGGUGUCUUUGGCCGCUCUUCCUCUUCCCUGUCUCUGUCUGGGUUGCCCCCACGUUCAGUUCUCAGAGCCGUCCUCUCCCCUAGCCGCAGCCCUCCUAGGCGGUCCCAUCCAACCCUAUGAGGGCUGCACCUGCGGCAUAUGGAGGUUCCCAGGCUAGGGGUCUAAUCGGAGCUACUGCUGCCAGCCUACACCACAGCCACAGCAACGCAGGAUCCGAGCCUCAAGUCUGCAACCUACACCACAGCUCACGGCAAUGCCGGAUCCUUAACCCACUGAGCGAGGCCAGGGAUCGAACCUGAGUCCUCAUGGAUACUGUCGGGUUUGUUACCACUGAGCCAAGACGGCAACUGCUACAGCUGUUUUUUCAAAGUGAUGAGAGAGGUAAAAGAGAGGAUGAAAAGGAGAGAGAAAUUUCAGGACUGUCGGCACUCCGUCAGCUGGGCUUGGAGACCAAACAAAUGAGGGGAGUAACUUGAGUCAAGGAUGAUUUUCAGGGUGUGAGUGAAGCAGCAUUUUCAACCACACGGAAAAUGGGAGGAAGAUGAUGUGUCUUUUGUCUUUUUAGGGCCGCACCUGCAGCACCUGAAGGUUCCCAGGCUGGAGGUCAAAUUGGAGCCACAGCUGGUGGCCUACACCACAGCCACAGCAACAUAGGAUCCCAGCUGCAUCUUCGACCUGCACCACAGCCCAUGGCAAUGCUGGAUCCUUAACCCACUGAGCGAGGCCAGGGAUGGAACCUGAGUUGUCAUGAAUCUUAGUCGGGUUCUUCCCCGUUGAGCCACACCAGGAACUCCCCAACUCCAUGACUUUAAACACCAUCUACACAGUGACUGCUCCAAGGCCAGUCUCUGCCGCGGGCUCCAGGCUCGACAGCCAACCUGGAGGUUUAAUCCGAUUCUCCAGGUCAGCAUGACCGCCGACCCUCCAUCCCCCUGAAAUCUUAACUAACGGCACCCAGUCCCUGGGGCCAGAACCCUGCCGUCUUCCCUCACCUGCCUCUCCUGCACUCACAUCUAAUCCAUCAGGAAAAUUCUUCUGAUUCUACUUUUCAGACGGUUCCCCAAUCCAACCACUUAUCCCCACAUCUACCGUCAUCACCCUGGUCUGAGACACCGCCACCCACAGGUCAGCCCCACGGCUUCUCUUCACGUGGAGCAAAUAGCCAGGCGUCUCUCCCUGACUCUCCACGCCAACUCCUGCCUCUCCCUUCACACAGCCUGCCGCAGCCCAGGUGGCCUCCUGGCUGCUCCUUCGAGCUGCCCAAUGCGUGGCAUGUGAUGUCCUCGCUGCAGGAAUGCUCAUUCCCCGUGCUCCCUGCUGGCUUCCAGGGCACUGGUCACAUGUCACCUCCUCAGAGGACACCCACAGCACUCCAGCCAGAAGGCGGCCCCAGCGCUCUCUUACCCCGCCUUUGCUUUGUUUUUCUCCACAAAGCUCGUCCCUACAUGACAGGUACGUCUAGUGACUGGCUGCCUGUCUCCCCAAGGAGAAUUUAAGUUCCAUAAGGGUGGGGCUUUGUUUACUACAGCCUUUCCUAGCACAGAGUAUCACCAAAUAAAUGCUAUGAGAUGAAUGACAUUAAAAAUACACGUCCUGGAGUUCCUGCUGUGGCUCAGCAGUAACGAACCCAACUACGAUCCAUGAGGACAUGGGUUCGAUCUCUGGUCUUGCUCAGUGAGUUAAGGAUCCAGCGUUGCCACGAGCUGUGGUGUAGGUUGCAGAUGCGGCUCGGAUCUGGUGUUGCUGUGGCUGUGGUGUAGACCGGCAGCUGCAGCUCUGAUUAGACCCCUGGCCUGGGAACCACACCAUAUGCCGCAGGUGCGGCCCUAAAAGGCUAAAUAAAUAAAUAAAUAAAAGAUUUAGCAUAGAGAGAAAAUAUCUAUACUCAUCAUUCAAUAGAUAUUUACUGAGCGCUGUGUAAUGGUAGGUACCGCUCAUCAAGUAAGUGCAGGUCGCGGUUAUGCUCAGAAUGACCCUGCGCGGUAGCUAUGAGUAGCUGGGCGACAGAGUACAGACAUGUCAAAUGACUUUUCCCAGGUCACAUAUCCUGUACCUGGCCCAGCUGGGAUCCAAAAGCAGUCCCUUUAGCCCCCUAAGCCAUGCUGUACUUCUCUUUUAGCAAAAGCCUCAAGACAUCCCGUUCUGGAACAUUCUCU